rnacentral:misc_RNA from 1 species
UAAUCUCACUACCAUUGACUUUGGUCUUUUGGUAUGUGGACUUGGAUGUUGCCGUCGAUGUCUACGGCUCGUCUGAAAUGCUUCAGUGUACCCCGCUUUGCGGCGUAUUCGGUGUGAUACAUCUUCACCGGAGUUGAUCCUUUUGGGGGUCGCGUCUGUAAUGUGUGGUUCUAUGCUUCCAACCGUCUCUCGAGACAAUCUCUGACA